rnacentral:rRNA from 1 species
CCCUUAGAUGUUCUGGACCGCACGCGCGCUACACUGAAGGGAUCAGCGUGUUUUCCCUUCCCGAGAGGGACGGGUAACCCGCUGAACCCCCUUCGUGGUAGGGAUCGGAGCUUGCAAUUGUUCUCCGUGAACCAGGAAUUCCCAGUAAGCGCAAGUCAUAAGCUUGCGUUGAUUACGUCCCUGCCCUUUGUACACACCGCCCGUCGCUACUACCGAUUGAACGUUUUAGUGAGGUAUUUGGACUGGGCCUUGGGAGGUUUCGGCCUCCCUUGUUGCUCGGAAAGACUCCCAAACUUGAGCGUUUAGAGGAAGUAAAAGUCGUAACA